CGCGUAGGCGGCCGAAUAAGUCUGAUGUGAAAUCCCACGGCUCAACCGUGGAACUGCAUCUGAAACUGUUCGGCUCGAGUCCGGGAGAGGGUAGUGGAAUUCCCAGUGUAGCGGUGAAAUGCGUAGAUAUUGGGAGGAACACCGGUGGCGAAGGCGGCUACCUGGACCGGUACUGACGCUGAGGCGCGAAAGCUAGGGUAGCAAACA
rnacentral:rRNA from 1 species